rnacentral:rRNA from 1 species
GGUUAAGCGACUAAGCGUACACGGUGGAUGCCCUGGCAGUCAGAGGCGAUGAAGGACGUGCUAAUCUGCGAUAAGCGUCGGUAAGGUGAUAUGAACCGUUAUAACCGGCGAUUUCCGAAUGGGGAAACCCAGUGUGUUUCGACACACUAUCAUUAACUGAAUCCAUAGGUUAAUGAGGCGAACCGGGGGAACUGAAACAUCUAAGUACCCCGAGGAAAAGAAAUCAACCGAGAUUCCCCCAGUAGCGGCGAGCGAACGGGGAGGAGCCCAGAGCCUGAAUCAGUGUGUGUGUUAGUGGAAGCGUCUGGAAAGGCGCGCGAUACAGGGUGACAGCCCCGUACACAAAAAUGCACAUACUGUGAGCUCGAUGAGUAGGGCGGGACACGUGGUAUCCUGUCUGAAUAUGGGGGGACCAUCCUCCAAGGCUAAAUACUCCUGACUGACCGAUAGUGAACCAGUACCGUGAGGGAAAGGCGAAAAGAACCCCGGCGAGGGGAGUGAAAAAGAACCUGAAACCGUGUACGUACAAGCAGUGGGAGCCUCUUUUAUGGGGUGACUGCGUACCUUUUGUAUAAUGGGUCAGCGACUUAUAUUCUGUAGCAAGGUUAACCGAAUAGGGGAGCCGAAGGGAAACCGAGUCUUAACUGGGCGUUAAGUUGCAGGGUAUAGACCCGAAACCCGGUGAUCUAGCCAUGGGCAGGUUGAAGGUUGGGUAACACUAACUGGAGGACCGAACCGACUAAUGUUGAAAAAUUAGCGGAUGACUUGUGGCUGGGGGUGAAAGGCCAAUCAAACCGGGAGAUAGCUGGUUCUCCCCGAAAGCUAUUUAGGUAGCGCCUCGUGAAUUCAUCUCCGGGGGUAGAGCACUGUUUCGGCAAGGGGGUCAUCCCGACUUACCAACCCGAUGCAAACUGCGAAUACCGGAGAAUGUUAUCACGGGAGACACACGGCGGGUGCUAACGUCCGUCGUGAAGAGGGAAACAACCCAGACCGCCAGCUAAGGUCCCAAAGUCAUGGUUAAGUGGGAAACGAUGUGGGAAGGCCCAGACAGCCAGGAUGUUGGCUUAGAAGCAGCCAUCAUUUAAAGAAAGCGUAAUAGCUCACUGGUCGAGUCGGCCUGCGCGGAAGAUGUAACGGGGCUAAACCAUGCACCGAAGCUGCGGCAGCGACACUGUGUGUUGUUGGGUAGGGGAGCGUUCUGUAAGCCUGUGAAGGUGUGCUGUGAGGCAUGCUGGAGGUAUCAGAAGUGCGAAUGCUGACAUAAGUAACGAUAAAGCGGGUGAAAAGCCCGCUCGCCGGAAGACCAAGGGUUCCUGUCCAACGUUAAUCGGGGCAGGGUGAGUCGACCCCUAAGGCGAGGCCGAAAGGCGUAGUCGAUGGGAAACAGGUUAAUAUUCCUGUACUUGGUGUUACUGCGAAGGGGGGACGGAGAAGGCUAUGUUGGCCGGGCGACGGUUGUCCCGGUUUAAGCGUGUAGGCUGGUUUUCCAGGCAAAUCCGGAAAAUCAAGGCUGAGGCGUGAUGACGAGGCACUACGGUGCUGAAGCAACAAAUGCCCUGCUUCCAGGAAAAGCCUCUAAGCAUCAGGUAACAUCAAAUCGUACCCCAAACCGACACAGGUGGUCAGGUAGAGAAUACCAAGGCGCUUGAGAGAACUCGGGUGAAGGAACUAGGCAAAAUGGUGCCGUAACUUCGGGAGAAGGCACGCUGAUAUGUAGGUGAAGUCCCUCGCGGAUGGAGCUGAAAUCAGUCGAAGAUACCAGCUGGCUGCAACUGUUUAUUAAAAACACAGCACUGUGCAAACACGAAAGUGGACGUAUACGGUGUGACGCCUGCCCGGUGCCGGAAGGUUAAUUGAUGGGGUCAGCGCAAGCGAAGCUCUUGAUCGAAGCCCCGGUAAACGGCGGCCGUAACUAUAACGGUCCUAAGGUAGCGAAAUUCCUUGUCGGGUAAGUUCCGACCUGCACGAAUGGCGUAAUGAUGGCCAGGCUGUCUCCACCCGAGACUCAGUGAAAUUGAACUCGCUGUGAAGAUGCAGUGUACCCGCGGCAAGACGGAAAGACCCCGUGAACCUUUACUAUAGCUUGACACUGAACAUUGAGCCUUGAUGUGUAGGAUAGGUGGGAGGCUUUGAAGUGUGGACGCCAGUCUGCAUGGAGCCGACCUUGAAAUACCACCCUUUAAUGUUUGAUGUUCUAACGUGGACCCGUGAUCCGGGUUGCGGACAGUGUCUGGUGGGUAGUUUGACUGGGGCGGUCUCCUCCUAAAGAGUAACGGAGGAGCACGAAGGUUGGCUAAUCCUGGUCGGACAUCAGGAGGUUAGUGCAAUGGCAUAAGCCAGCUUGACUGCGAGCGUGACGGCGCGAGCAGGUGCGAAAGCAGGUCAUAGUGAUCCGGUGGUUCUGAAUGGAAGGGCCAUCGCUCAACGGAUAAAAGGUACUCCGGGGAUAACAGGCUGAUACCGCCCAAGAGUUCAUAUCGACGGCGGUGUUUGGCACCUCGAUGUCGGCUCAUCACAUCCUGGGGCUGAAGUAGGUCCCAAGGGUAUGGCUGUUCGCCAUUUAAAGUGGUACGCGAGCUGGGUUUAGAACGUCGUGAGACAGUUCGGUCCCUAUCUGCCGUGGGCGCUGGAGAACUGAGGGGGGCUGCUCCUAGUACGAGAGGACCGGAGUGGACGCAUCACUGGUGUUCGGGUUGUCAUGCCAAUGGCACUGCCCGGUAGCUAAAUGCGGAAGAGAUAAGUGCUGAAAGCAUCUAAGCACGAAACUUGCCCCGAGAUGAGUUCUCCCUGACCCUUUAAGGGUCCUGAAGGAACGUUGAAGACGACGACGUUGAUAGGCCGGGUGUGUAAGCGCAGCGAUGCGUUGAGCUAACCGGUACUAAUGAACCGUGAGGCUUAACCUUAC